rnacentral:rRNA from 1 species
UUGGGGAGGAAAAGAAACUAACUAGGAUUUCCUUAGUAGCGGCGAGCGAACASGAAAUAGCCCAGCACUGAAUCCCGUCGUUGUAACGGCGGCGGGAGAUGUGGUGUUCGGGAGGUUCCGCUUUCUUGUCGUCGUCCACUCCUGUCCAAGUUCGUCUUGAACGGGGCCCAUUUCCCAGAGAGGGUGCCAGGCCCGUAGCGACGGAGGACGGCGGCGAGAGGAACUCUCCUCAGAGUCGGGUUGCUUGAGAGUGCAGCCCUAAGCGGGUGGUAAACUCCAUCUAAGGCUAAAUAUUACCGCGAGACCGAUAGCGAACAAGUACCGUAAGGGAAAUUGG